rnacentral:tRNA from 1 species
GGUCUUAUAUUCACAAGUGAUAAUAGAAUGCAAUUCUAUAGGGGUAAAUAAUAUUUACUAAGGCUU